AUGCAAGCAGUGUUUAUCGAAAUGGAUAAUAAUCCUAAUAAACAGUCAGUGUCUUCCAGGGAAUCAAUUCUGGGAAAGAAUACUCCUUCUUUUGUAAGACCUAGUAGGUGGUACAAAUUAUUGGAAGGUGAUCAUGCUUCCUUUGUUGAGUCAAAACUUACUAGCUUUAUUGAUGAAAGAAGUCAACAGAUUCAUCCUCAUGAAAUUGAUUCACACUCACUUGUUGAGGAAAGGUGA